CCGUAAAUAGCCCUAAGGGCCCCAGAUCUCCAACUGAAGCAAACACCCCCCCCAAAUAGUCCCGAAGUUCCAAUUUAAAACCCCGGGACUCUCCCGAUUCCCGCCUGACCCCCAAGUAGCUCUGAAGUUCCAAUGUCAGAAUUUGGGGGCACCUCAGAUUCCCGUCUGGCAGGAACAGUCCUGCCCCAGACAACCCGAGACAACAGACUCAGAGCCCGUUCCUCCCUCCUAAGUGAGCAGCAUGGCCCACUCCAGUCUCCUAGGAACAGCCACGUGUCCACAGCCCCCUCGCUCUCUGUGUUCCAUGGUCUGCGCCCUCGUUGCAGUCUUUGAUUCCAGCGGAAAUCAAUAAAGAAAUGGCUCCUAGGAGAACAUUCCAAGACUUCUUAGAAAACGUUAGGCACUUCAGACCCGAUCUUCCUAUGUACAGAUGAAAUGUGAGAACCAGCUUCCUGCUCUUCAGGCCGUACCUUACCUGCUGUGAUGAGCUCUAUCCCUCGGGAAUCAUAAGCCAAAAUAAACCUUUUCUCC